GGUCGGUUAGCUCAGUUGGUUAGAGCGUCGUACUAAUAUUAUAUGGCUUCGUUUGCCAUGUAACAUUGGUUCAUGCGAAGGUCAUGGGUUCGACCCCCAUACUGACCA